rnacentral:rRNA from 1 species
GACGAACGCUGGCGGCGUGCCUAAUACAUGCAAGUUGAGCGCUGAAGGUUGGUACUUGUACCAACUGGAUGAGCAGCGAACGGGUGAGUAACGCGUGGGGAAUCUGCCUUGGAGCGGGGGACAACAUUUGGAAACGAAUGCUAAUACCGCAUAAAAACUUUAAACACAAGUUUUAAGUUUGAAAGAUGCAAUUGCAUCACUCAAAGAUGAUCCCGCGUUGUAUUAGCUAGUUGGUGAGGUAAAGGCUCACCAAGGCGAUGAUACAUAGCCGACCUGAGAGGGUGAUCGGCCACAUUGGGACUGAGACACGGCCCAAACUCCUACGGGAGGCAGCAGUAGGGAAUCUUCGGCACUCGACGAAAGUCUGACCGAGCAACGCCGCGUGAGUGAAGAAGGUUUUCGGAUCGUAAAACUCUGUUGGUAGAGAAGAACGUUGGUGAGAGUGGAAAGCUCAUCAAGUGACGGUAACUACCCAGAAAGGGACGGCUAACUACGUG